ensembl:lncRNA
AAAAAUGAUUCUGGAGUCUAAGAACCAGCUGCAGGAAUGCACAGCAUAUCACCAGUAGUUAAAAUGAUGGAUUAAGUCCCCAGUCCACAAUUAAUCCCAGUUUUGGACACAUGUCUGAGAAAAAUAUGCCCAGUGUGCUUUGGGGUGGAUUUUUCUUUUAACCACAUAUCCAACUGCAUAUCCAAGAAUCAUUUUUGCUCUCUUGCAACAGAAUCUACUGCACUCGGAACGCAGUUUUCCAAAGUAAGAAUCGGCAUCAACUAACAGUUACAGUUCUCCUCGUCCAUCGUAAGCUGUGCUGUUUCUUCUCGACACAUUUGUACAAGCGCUGCUAAGAGGUCUGUUGAAAUGUGCAUUUCCUCUGACGUGGAGCGUGAUGCCAAGUUUUUUAAAUGUCAAAGUGUUUGUGACAAGCAGUCACUCAGGAGCAGGUUGGCUUUGAAAGCAGAGCUGAGUACAGGUCUUAAAGGCCAGACACGCCUCUGGAAUGAUGCUGAUCUGCAGCAAUCAACACAACAGACUCCUUCACUCGCUGCUGUUUAACAGCAUUAAAGAAAUGUGGACGUGCCAGGGUAUUUUGGCACAAAUCACAAACUAAUAAUGCCCUCCAAGGAUAAAAAGUUAUUUGAACAUUUUUCCAGUAGGCUUUGAUUAUUUUUACGGGGCCGAAUAAGUGAUUACAUAAAGUUGUUCAAUCAGUGGAAUCAAGAGUGCCUUUUUGAAGACUCUAAUCUUGAAUUUGAAGACACAAUCUCAAAUCUAGUGCUCAAGGGUUGGUUUCUUAAUCAAGUAUAAUCUAACAACCUGGUUGAAAUUACAAAGUAGCUUGAAGAGUGGCAUUUUUCCUUCAAAGAAAACGUUGUGAGAUUCGGGUCAAAUUUGUAGGUUUAAAAUUCACAGCCCCACCCUCCUGUUACCUUGCUUGAUUAGGUUACACCGUGAGAGGCACACAGGCACACGUUUUUUUAUUUUCCUUACCCAGCAGGCCCUCUUUGCUGGUGUGCAUCUCAGCCCUCCUUACAGACAGAUAGAUGCAGUGGUCUGAGGAGGUGGAUGGGAGUGCAACGGUGAAAUCUAAGUGAAGUGGAGAAGAAUAAAGGCCGCCGAAGGUCGCCUUCCCCACCCCCACGAUACGGUUAAACAUGAGGCUUUUAUUGAGAUGAUGCUGAAAUUCACUUCAGAACUCUACAUUACUUUACUGCUGAUCUGAAGCUUUUAGGUACAAUUGGGGGGGGAUGAAAAUGCAAUUUCGGGCUUUGUGAAGGAACUCUGAGGUGCUCUUGUGUGUUGCCAUGACAAUCUUGCAGCAUCGUUCCCGUGUGGAGGUGUGUCUGGCCCUUUACAGCCACUUACAUGGACCAGCUGGUCUCUGUUCCUCUGAACUCAGAACCAACUCUGCUGACACCUGUUCACAAAGAUUUAGGGUCUAAUUUGGAUAUUUUAGUACAACUUAAGCAGUGCGGCAGAUUCAUUUGCUUUUGUCUAGUGUACUUUGUGUUGAGGGAAAUGCUACUGGACUAAGACACGAUGCUACAGACCACAAAGAUUGAAAUUGUUGCUACCUCAGUCUGUCAUGUCUGUAGCAAACUAUUCAGAUGCAGAGAAGUCUGCUGCACAAGGCUGACUUGAAAACUGAAGCGUAUUUCCUCUUAGGUAGUUAAACUCAUUUUUCAUUCGUUCCCAGGCUGUACAUCCAUGUGAAUCUUCAUCAGCCCUUUUCAGGGACCUCUGGUGAAGUUAAAUGCUGCAUAGAGGAUUUUAUCAGGCUGUUGGUUUUUUCCUUACAGAAAAUGUGUCAGAUUUUGACUUUCCUAUCUAUAAAAAGUUUCCAGUGAUGCUCUGUCAUGCCGGCGCGUCCCUUUACACACUUCUCAGAAGACUAAUCAUCAACUUCUUGAUACCGUCACUUUUUGUCCCGUGGUUAUGUGUCAUUCUCACAGCAUCUUUGGUCAUUGGAGCGUGAGCGGUGCAGGGCUGACUGGGCCUCAUUUGUUCCCAGAGAGAUGGGGCGUUCCUGGGCCACUGCAGGUCUGUCACCUUUCUUCAGGCCUUUUCAUAAACGUCAUUUCCUUCUUCUUCUUCUGGUGUUCUGUUUUUAUUCUGGUAACUCUUCACAGAAGCUUUUCUUUUCUUGGGUUAACUGUGUACAUAUUUGUUUUUUAAAGACAGGGCUUGAGGCUCUUUUAGCAACAAGGAGAUCACUAUCCUCUGGAAUACUGAGUCUUUCUAGAAGGAAAGAAAACCCACUGAAAUUCUACGUAUGGGAUUUGGUUAACAUUUCAGCUGUAGUGUAAAUUUUAUGAACUCUCCCCAAAAUAUACUCCGUGUUUUAAAGGUUUGAUCUCUUGUUUUGAUGGUUCAGGGUAAUGAGCUCGGGCUUGGCUUUUGGUUUCUACGUUUAAAAAAGAGAGAGAGGGAGGGAGCAAGAAAAACAAGAAAAAAAAGUGAGCAGGUGUUGUGUUUUGUUGAAAUCGCCCGUGUGUUUUCCGUGAUCCUCUUGUAGCUUGUUUUUGCCGUCCUUCACGUUAUGACGUUCGCUUAAUUUGCCGUCUUUGACAGCCACGUACCUCCUCUGUUACUUUCGAGUUAUGAAGUCUACACUUCAUGCAGAUAACCACUGCAUUUUUAGUCAAGCUGAAGAACAACACUGGCUCAUGAGAUCGAUUGUCAGGUCAGACAGACUGGCACUUGCUGAGUGGAUAUUGGAGGUCAGUCGUCAGACAGGAAGUUUGGUGGGUGAGAUACAAAUUCCCAAACUGUAAAGAAGAUUAAAUGUCACGAGACCUCACACUCAUCUGGAAGCAAGAACAUCACUUGAAAGGGUAUUUUAUUGUUUUUGAUGAAUUCUGUACUUUGUUUUUUAGCCAAAUACUUUUCCAGUGCUUUAUAAACAGCAAGGAUUGUAAAUCUGAAUAACUCAUAGCAGGGGAGGCUCAUGCAGAGCUCGUUUAACAGCCCAGCUCGUUGGUUCUCUGGAGAUCUAACAAGACUCAGGCUGUUGCCUUCCCAAAUGUAAAAAUUACAGGACGCUGCUCCAUUAAAAACAAGAAGAGAAAAAAAUAAAACCGAACGAGCGCUUUGAAUCCACGUGCGGGAAAAAAUAACGCUGUGUUUGUUCUUUCAGUCUUUGAUGAUGCUCUUUUUUUUCAUCUUGGUGUUUUUGGUGAGCAAAAAUGUAAAAAAGAAAAAAACUUACAACACAGAAUACCUCAGACAAGAAAUCCAUGUAACCUUGACGACCUCCUUAUAUUGUCAGACCCUGUCCAUCAACACUCAUCUCUGGACACUUUCAUCUCCAUUUUUGUCAUUUUUCUUUGUUCCUCCUGCCAAAUGUAGUGCGUCGUAGCCGGUAAAGGUUCCACAACUUUGCUUUGUCUAUUUUUUUAAACACUAAUUUAGCUUCACAUUCCCACAUGUUCUAUUUUCUAAUUUGUCGACAUUCUUGGUCUUAAUCCUUUCACAGCCCACACUGCAUUGAGCUGUUGUUUUCAAGACGAUUUUAAACACUGCUAUUUCCCAGUGGUUCAGAAAGAUUCACAGAAGACAUUCUUUGAAUCCCCGUAAAAGAUGGAAGUUUAAAAAAACAGACUCUCCAGUCUUUUGUUUCUCCAAGUGGGUUUGCUGAUAGAAUGAAGGCCAAUGCUGUAUGUGAAACACUUGAAACCACACAUUCCCCACCUUGUUCCCUUUGCAUACCUCUUUAUCAACUUUUUAUUGUUGUUAAAACUGAAUGUAAGAAAAAAAACACAAACACAACAAACCUCUAAUUUAACUAUACAUAUUUAAGAAUAAAAGAAUACUCUAUAUGUGCACAUAGAUAUACCUAUACAAGCCCCACACAGACAUAAACACAAAUGCAUAUGUAUAUAAAAAUCUCUAAUGUCAUAUACUUUUAUCUUGAAAAGGAAGAGGAUGAGCCUUUUCCAUUGAUGAUUCAGGGAAACAAUACAGAAGUCCAGUGCAGUAUGUUAGGUGAAAUCGCUCCCACUCUGUCGCUUUUGGUGUUUGUUUUCUUACUCUGUUCUUGCUUGCUAUUUUCCCAUGAUGUAGCAUAGGGCAAAGGGGCAGGGCGGCUCGAGGUUGUUUUUGGUUUUUUUGUUAACAGACAAUGUAGUGAAACUAGGAUCUUGUGUAGUUGUAGUCUUUUUAGGCCUGAUUCUGUGAAAUGGGGGGAUGGGUGGGUAAGCGGAUGGGUCUCUUUUUUCUUUUUUUCCUGAAGCGGACACUGUAAAGACAGUAUAUGUAUGAAGAUGACUUAGAUAUGAAGUCACACUGGGUGGGUUGAAGGGCUGCAGGGAGGGUGAUGGCUUAUCUUCAGGAUGGUCGUGUAUAUAGAUCGGCUUUACCCAUCAGUCCUCGCCUGGUUUUUCACAGGUGGGUUGGAAUUGUAUACUGAAGGCACUGAGAAUGAACGCUUUUGCGUGUUUUUAUGUCUAGAAAAGAAAAGACUGUUUUAAAUGAAGGAAGUGGAGGGGUGAUGAACCCUGUUCAGGUUCUCCACAGAAGCCAACAGACAGCGAAGUUGUUAGAAAAAGCGGCUCCCUCGAAACACCGCUUUGCUGGGAGUGACGGAUGAUUUCGUGGACGUUGACGCUCUUGAUAUUUUUGCAUGCUGGUGUACAUACCCCUCAGUCCUUUUGUUUGAAGAGGCUGGUUAAUCCAAAAGCUCUCCUUUUCCUUUGGAUGUUGUCCGCAGGACAGAUUCGGAUGUUUUGAAUAUAAAAUAUAGCCCCCCGAGGGAAAAAAAAAAUCGCCUUUCAUAAGAAGGUGCACCUAAGGUGUUUGUUUGUCACUGCAACAGCUUUCGUAGUAGUUUUUGGCUAAAGCUCUUUUGCAAUCAUUCUGUUUUCCUUGUGUAAAGUAAUUUUUUUCAAGUGUAUGAGUGUGAAUGUGUGUGCCUAUGUAAGAAACGAUGUGCAAAGCUUGCUUCUUUCGAUUUCUUUUUUCCCCCUCAGUUCAACCAUGUUUUCGUCUCAGAGUUGUUUUUAAGGAACAUUAAUCUUUUUGUGCUCUUAUGGAAACUCAAUGAAACAGUGUGCAAGUUUGAAGAACUGCAUCUCUGUCUGUAAAAGAUGCUUCUCUCUGGGCACCUUACAGACCUAAAUUGCAUUACCCAGACACCCUCAGGGACCCUUGACAACACUGCUCUCACUCUUAUUCAGGUACUUAAUCUAUAUCGAGGCCUAGCAGUGAUCAACUUUAACUAUAGUUUAUUUCAUUAGCCUGUUCCUAUGAAAACGAAUUACAGCCAAAAUUUGAUCCGAAACAGUCUGUCUUGCCCUCUACUCAUGGAAUUACAUCUCGUUUUCUAGCCUUACAUGUCUCUUUUUGUAACCUCUGGAUAGGUUUAGUAUGUUCUGAAUGUUAGCUGUCUUCUCAGUUCAUAACUACUGAGUCUUUGUAAGCACCCUGUUCUCUCUCUGACUUGCGUUAAGUGCCAUGGCUUUUGCUCUGUGCAGUAAUCAGGAAUUGAUUAUUGUGUUGCUACGAAGCACUAACCUAACAGUGACUUACACCAAGCUAACCUCUUAAAAUAAACACGUCAGACAAGUGCACACAACAGUGGUUUGGCUUUAAAAUUGUCUUUAAAGCCGUCCACGGUCCUUUACAAAUGCUGGUUUAAAAACCAGAGAAGAUACAGUAAGCCAUCUUCAGGUAUCCCUCUGGUUUAAGUGCUAACUUUGUUUUUUUUCUCCACCAACUGUGGAGCCACACACAACAGAGAAAUGUGAUGGAUCUGCCUUCAGUUCUUCUAAAGCUUCAGGGAAAACCUAGUAACCCUCUCUACAAAGCUAAGCUGACUCUUAUGUCACCAAACCUGCGGCUGUGUUCAGGAACGAGGCGAGUCUAACUUGGGUACAAAUAUCUGCUGGGCAGUUUUCAGUGAUGUUGUGCACAUUUGUUCUGUGAUUUUGUUUUUUAAUUUCUGGGUUUUUUUUAAGACAGCCACUCAUCUCUGCUGUGAUUGGUUGAUGCCUCUGCUGGAUGUUAAGUGUUUGUGUUGCUUCGCACAGCUUGGCAGAUUCCAAUGUCUGUUUUAUGCUAAGAACUAGUCAUGCAAAGCAGUUAUUUAUUGGCCUGGUCUUGAUGACAGGAGUGUAGUAUACAUAUUGCCUAAAUUUUGUACCUCUUACAACAAUCACAUCACUGAUGUUUGGUGAGAACUAUGUAAAGCUGUAUUUCAUGUUAGAGCUCUUGCAAUUACUUUCUACAUUCCUAAUGUUGGUUUUGGUAGUAACCUGAUUUUGUUGUGAUAGAAAUAAAUCUGAUUGGUUUGGAAAAAGGCUUGUAAUAUUUGGUAGAUGCAAGAAGUGUUGUCCAGGGGUUUAGACUUUAGUUUGGAGAGAACAAAAAACCUCUUUUCUUGUUCUUGGUUUUUGUCCUGCUGAGGUUUCUAAGAUUUCGUAAUCUCACCUCGCUUCUUAACGGGUGGCUGGACGCCCCGAGACGGGGUCUGCUGGGCUUCUUUUUUUGUUUUCCUCUUUUCCACUGAGAUUUUGUUUUUUGGUUUGACGAUAUACCUCAUUCCUUCAGUCCAGCGGGCCCUCGGGGGGGGGGGCGCUGUGCCGAUGCUCAGGACGCUCAAGCCCCCUUUCACGGUUUGGUCCCACCUGGACUGUACCUCUCAUAAACACACAUACACACAUGCAUGCACACUUACAUACAGGUUCUCCAAAUACCCCGAUGGACCUCAUUUUUCAAUAUCUACUGUUUACAGUUUGACUAAGAAACUAAUUUAAAAUAUUUUCUCAUAUUGUAGUUUAAUUUAUGUACAAUGUACAAUUUGUUUUUCAUUUGUUUUCAUUCUAUUUUGUACGUUGUGAGUUGGACUUUUAUUCUUCUAGAUUUCUGUUAUUAAUGUCCAUGUAAAUGAGCACUUAACAAGGAUCACAAUAAUCGGUUUUAGUUUGACUGACACUUUUAUUUCCCCCCUUUCUUCCUGUUUUGAAUUCAAAAUCUGAUUUUUUGUUUGGGCUAAUGAAUAAAAAAUCAUCUCAUAAUGUCUGUGAUUUUUUUUUAUAUAAAAAGAUUAAAGAUGAUGAUUUGAGUUCCUUUGUUUUUUUGUUUGUUUUUUUACUUUAUUUUGCAUUGAAUAUCAGGCGACGCUGAUUAUAUCUGUCUUUGUGCAUGUGUAAAAUAUUUUACUGGUUAUGUUAUAUUCAAUUUGGUAAAAAAGGAAGAAAAAAAAGAAAAAAGAAAAUUGCCAUUUUUGCCACACAUUUCAGCUGUAAUGUUGUGUAAGGUAGUAUUCACUGGAUGCUAGAACCUUCUUUUCAAAACCACUAUUCUUCUAAUAAAUUUUGUUGUGAAAAUACCUCGAGUCUUGUCUGAGUUUGUGUUUUGUUUCAUAGGAACACCAUAACCUGCCCGUAUGCAAAGUACUGAUUCGAUGCAACAAGUACCAAGGCUGAGCUUUGAUCAAUGGACUGUCUUUAAAAAUUGCAUCACUCUUUUUACAGUUUCAGUAUCACAAGUCAGCAUCAUGCAAAUACUGGGAACCACCGUAACCUGCUAGUGACAAAAUCCAACACAAGGUUUUCAAUGUAGCAUCUCAUUUCUUUGAAAUCCAGUUUCACGACUGUCAACAACUUCCAGCGACCACUCACCAACUGGUAGCAGAACACACACUUUUCCCUAGUGAUGAGUGAUUGCCAGGGGCCCACUGACCAGUCUCUAGCCCUGCACGAAUGGGGCUUUAGCAUUCGAGAGCAAGCGUUCACCAACCAGUCAGGAAAACACAG